UACGGAGGAGGCAAGCGUUGUUCGGAUUCAUUGGGCGUAAAGGGUGCGUAGGUGGCGCGCUAAGUCAGGUGUGAAAUCUCGGGGCUUAACUCCGAAACUGCAUUUGAUACUGGCGUGCUUGAGGACUGGAGAGGAGACUGGAAUUCAUGGUGUAGCAGUGAAAUGCGUAGAGAUCAUGAGGAAGACCAGUGGCGAAGGCGGGUCUCUGGACAGUUCCUGACACUGAGGCACGAAGGCCAGGGGAGCAAACGGG
rnacentral:rRNA from 1 species